GGCGAAAUAGCUCAGUUGGUAGAGCACUGCACUGAAAAUGCAGGUGUCCCCGGUUCAAGUCCGGGUUUCGCCA
rnacentral:tRNA from 4 species